rnacentral:rRNA from 1 species
GGAGUUAGCCGGUGCUUCUUCUGUGAGUGAUGUCCUUCCUGCCGGCUAUUAACCCGCAGGCCUUCUUCCUCACUGAAAGUGCUUUACAACCCGAAGGCCUUCUUCACACACGCGGCAUGGCUGGAUCAGGGUUGCCCCCAUUGUCCAAUAUUCCCCACUGCUGCCUCCCGUAGGAGUCUGGGCCGUGUCUCAGUCCCAGUGUGGCUGAUCAUCCUCUCAGACCAGCUACGGAUCGUCGCCUUGGUGAGCCGUUACCUCACCAACCAGCUAAUCCGACAUAGGCUCAUCCGAUAGCGCGAGGCCCGAAGGUCCCCCGCUUUCCCCCGUAGGGCGUAUGCGGUAUUAGCCUGGGUUUCCCCAGGGUUAUCCCCCACUACCCGGGCAGAUUCCUAUGCAUUACUCACCCGUCCGCCGCUCGCCACCAGGGAGCAAGCUCCCCGUGCUGCCGCUCGACUUGCAUGUGUUAGGCCUGCCGCCAGCGUUCAAUCUGAGCCAGNGANACAACUCGUAGACUAGACGGCGGCGUCGACGACGGCGACAG